rnacentral:tRNA from 1 species
UGGCGAGUAGCACAGCGGUAGUGUCCCCGGCUGUUACCCGGGUGGUCGUUGGUUCGAAUCCAGCCUCGCCAGCCA